rnacentral:rRNA from 1 species
UACGAGUGCCUCAAGCGUUAUCCGGAAUCAUUGGGCGUAAAGGGUGUGUAGGUUGUCUUAUUAGUCUUCUGUCAAAUUCUUCGGCUUAACCGGGGACCGGCAGGGGAAACGGUAAGACUAGAGGAUGCGAGAGGUGAAUGGAACUCAUAGUGUAAGGGUGAAAUCCGUUGAUAUUAUGGGGAACACCAAAAGCGAAGGCAAUUCACUGGCGCACUCCUGACGCUGAAACACGAAAGCGUGGGGAGCAAACAGG